rnacentral:rRNA from 1 species
GACGAAGGGGGCUAGCGUUGUUCGGAAUUACUGGGCGUAAAGCGCGUGUAGGCGGUUGCCCAAGUCGGAUGUGAAAGCCUUGAGCUCAACUCAAGAAAUGCAUUCGGUACUGGGUGACUAGAGGACCGGAGAGGAUAGUGGAAUUCCCAGUGUAGUGGUGAAAUACGUAGAGAUUGGGAAGAACACCAGUGGCGAAGGCGGCUAUCUGGACGGUUUCUGACGCUAAGACGCGAAAGCGUGGGGAGCAAACAGG